rnacentral:misc_RNA from 1 species
GUUUUGUGCAAGUAAAUCCCCCUCCUAAUGUGUCUCUUGCUGCAAUCGUGCUCCCAAAUAUCGAAAUAGAUUUGUUGCUCUAAAUCUCUUCGAGGCAUUCCAGAAGAUAAGGCUGUUUCAAUGUUUUUUUAUGAGUCAAGUCUAAAAAAUUUGAGUGGUGUAGCGACUGUCCUUUAGUUUACUUAUCCUUAAUUUGUGGUUUGUGAUGUUUUUCUGGAAACAUGGUCCUAAAUUCAAGUUAUACAUGGUAG